UAGUUUACUGAAGUUCAUGUCGGCGAGCGGCGGACGGGUGAGUAAAGUCUGGGAAUCUGGCCGAAGGAGGGGGAUAACUGCUGGAAACGGCAGCUAAUACCGCAUGAAGUCGCGAGACCAAAGUGGGGGACCUUCGGGCCUCACGCCUUCGGAUGAGCCCAGAUGAGAUUAGCUGGUAGGUAAGGUAAAGGCUUACCUAGGCGACGAUCUCUAGCGGGUCUGAGAGGAUAGCCCGCCACACUGGAACUGAGACACGGUCCAGACUCCUACGGGAGGCAGCAGUGGGGAAUAUUGCACAAUGGGCGAAAGCCUGAUGCAGCCAU
rnacentral:rRNA from 1 species